GACGAACGCUGGCGGCGUGCUUAACACAUGCAAGUCGAACGGAAAGGCCCUGCUUUUGUGGGGUGCUCGAGUGGCGAACGGGUGAGUAACACGUGAGUAACCUGCCCUUGACUUUGGGAUAACUUCAGGAAACUGGGGCUAAUACCGGAUAGGAGCUCCUGCUGCAUGGUGGGGGUUGGAAAGUUUCGGCGGUUGGGGAUGGACUCGCGGCUUAUCAGCUUGUUGGUGGGGUAGUGGCUUACCAAGGCUUUGACGGGUAGCCGGCCUGAGAGGGUGACCGGUGACAUUGGGACGGAGAUACGGACAAGGAUCAGACGGGAGGCAGGGGGGGGGAAGAGUGGAGAAGGGGCGGAAGCGUGAUGAAGCAAGGACGGGGGAGGGAGGAGGGCGGUCGGGGUGUAAACCGAGAGAGACGGUGGAGAAGAGUGAGUGAGGGGAAGGGGUAAAGAAGAACGGGAGAAUUAUGUG
rnacentral:rRNA from 1 species